AUGAUCGUUCAUACUAGCACUACUGCACCCUAACCCGUCAGAUCUAGGAAGUUAAGCGUGCUCAGGCGAGGCCAGUAGUACGGU
rnacentral:rRNA from 1 species